rnacentral:SRP_RNA from 1 species
CCGCGCUAGGUGGGGAGCUCGCCGUGCCCUGAACCCGCAAUCGGCGAUAGCGGGGCUGAAUUCCCUGCCCGCGGGCUCGCCUUGUGGGGACGGGCUGACGCGCGGGGCGAUGAAGGUUGGGUCCUGCGCGGCGGCACAGGGUGAACCCCGCCAGGCCCGGAAGGGAGCAACGGUAAGCCCUCCCUGCCGCGCGCCGCAGGGUUGCCUGGCUGGAGCCACCGGCGUCGGUAACGCCCGGAAGGCGAGUUCAACGGUGGGGUGCGCGG